AACGAACGCUGGCGGCAGGCUUAACACAUGCAAGUCGAGCGCCCCGCAAGGGGAGCGGCAGACGGGUGAGUAACACGUGGGAACCUUCCUAGAGGUACGGAACAACUCAGGGAAACUUGAGCUAAUACCGUAUACGCUCUUGCGAGGACAGAUUUAUCGCCUUUAGACGGGCCCGCGUAGGAUUAGCUAGUUGGUGGGGUAAUGGCCUACCAAGGAGACGAGCCGUAGCUGAUCUGAGAGGAUGAUCAGCCAAACUGGGACUGAGACACGGCCCAGACUCCUACGGGAGGCAGCAGUGGGGAAACUUGGACAAUGGGCGCAAGCCUGAUCCAGCCAUGCCGCGUGAGUGAAGAAGGCCUUCGGGUUGUAAAGCUCUUUUGCCAGGGACGAUAAUGACGGUACCUGGAGAAUAAGCCCCGGCAAACUUCGUGCCAGCAGCCGCCGUAACAC
rnacentral:rRNA from 1 species